UGUGUGCACCUGGUGGGCAGGGGGAGGCUGUGCCUGCACUAACAUGUAAGCAUGGGUGAACUGAUGCUUGGCCUCGUUCAGCCAAUUCAGGAAGGAUGUAAGCUUCACUAGAGAUUCACAUACACCUAAAGUGAGGCACGUACCUGGGUCUGAUGGUGUCAUGGGCAUCUGCAGGCUGGUUUCUGUGCUUGUGCCAAAUCUCACAGCUCACCACGCAGCUCUGCAGGGCGCUGUUUGCACACCUAGCACAUUCACUGAGUUCCUGCAAGCUUCUAGAGAACCGUCGCCUUCAGAUAUCUCCUCUAUCUGAAAGCAUCUCAGGAUACUGCUGCCUCAGGUAAUGCUGCUACACAAAAUCAGAGUGUUCCUGUACUGCUGAUGAAACUUUCCCUGUUGUAUUCCACUGGGAGCUGUUAGCAGUGCUGUGUGACAUCCAGAGAGAAGGCACGUUUAACACAACAGCAAGCACUCAGGUUUAAGAAAAAACACACAUGAAGAGGAAGUCUCAUUAUGUCUGAAAGCUUCUAUCAAGAAAUAUAGAUCAGAGUCCUCAAUAUGACAAAGUCAGUGACUUUCUGGAGACAAAGACCCAACAGAUAACUUGAGAAACAUGGACAUAUGAAAUAUUAAAAAACCAGCCUUGACAAAAAUGCACUUUGAAGGUAAUAUUACACUGCAAAACCUCAGAAAAUAUUUAUAAACAGAGCAGUGAAAGAGAGAUCCGAAGAUAGACACUGAUUACGUGUGUAAAAAAAAGACUGUAUUGGGUCAGGACAAAAAUGCAGAAGACCUGUCAAAAUCUGACAAUCAUCCAGAGCAUAUGUUUGGGGAAGAAGCACACGGACAAGGCAAACAACUGUAAGGAUGCAACUAUGUUCACAGAUAAGAUUUGUCUGCUGUUGUUUAUCCUAUCUUCACUGAAGCACUGUUUUUGUUACUGUGAGAAAUGCAAGAGAGGAGCACAUUACAGCAUUCAUAGCAUUCAAAAGAACAUAAUUACAUCCUCUGUAAUACUGUUGCACUGAUGACCUGCAGUACUCAGGCAGAACUAUGCCUCAGAGCAGAGGGAUGUCCCAUCUGGAAGUGCUCAAGGGAGAUGUGAGAAGGUACAAGGUGUGACGGUUCUGUGGUAUGGACACGUUCACUGGGAACCGGGCUCUUGAAAUGGUUUUGGAAAGCAGCAGGUGGUGGAUAGUUAUACCCAGAACUGAACCUUUUCAUGUUUACACAGUUCUAUGACUAGUGUUCUCAGCAAUAAGGAACUGCUGUUCUUGUAAUAAGCUUCAUCAUGAACUUUGAAAUGAGUAGGAACCAUAAGGACUUUGACUUGGUAUAGCUCAUCUUCCUUAGUUCUGUUGUUGUCAGUAUUCAGCAUAAUUAAGUUAAAACAAGUUUGGAAACAUCCCUUGGGUCUUAGAACGACUUCUAGAGGACAAUGGAGAUGUGCCCUGUGCUUAUAACAUCACCAAGACACUCAGAAUUAAUGUAUUCCCUUUUCUCAGGAGUUAAUUUUUUUUUUUUUAUGUGAUCACAUACAUAUAAAAAGAGUUUUAGGAGGACACAGUUUGAUUUUGUACUGUGAUAGUAGAUAUUUCAGUGCUGCACCCAAAAGUAAAUAUUUUUGUGUUUUUACACAGACCUUCUGUUUUUUUUCUGGCAUGUCUCUGUUAGCUUGGGUAAUUCUCAAGAGAAAGGAUAAGACAGUAGUCAACCAUAUCAUCAGAAAGAAGCAGAUUGCAGGUGGUUCUCCAGAGAAUCCUGGCAUGGGAGCUGGCAGAGAUCUAACCAUUAGAUCUGACCUGUAUUGCUACCUUCCAGGUUGUCUCAUCCCUGGCUCCCUGACUUCUUGCCUCCAUUCUGAACCUCUCAGAACAUUCAAGACAAUAUUACACACAGUGUGCACUCACUGCUUCCUUGCUUUCUCAUAGACAUCCACCACCAAAUGGGUGGAGAUAUCAGGGCCAUCAUACCCACUCUCCAGAAGUGGCUAGCCUGCUUGGUAAGGGGUGUGAUACGCUACUAAGGCAUCUCCUUGUGUUGAGUAGACUGGAGCUUCCUACCUUUGAGAUGGUUUGAAUUUCCUGCUCUAAUCUCUACCUAUGAAGAACAUGUCCCAAAUGUACUGAAGUGAAAUGAAAUGGAAUAGUGUAGUUGUUCAACACUACGUAAAAAAUGUAUGGAGUAAUAAGAGCUUAAACUCUGAAGCUAAGAAUUGGCUCAGAGAUGGAUAAAAAUUACCAUGAUGUAUUCCUGUUGUUUUCAGUCAAGAUAAAUUCUUCUGCUUAUUCACAGACUAUUUUAAAAUCUACCUUUACUUUUCUUCUCCUACCAGUUUUAUUCAAAUGUAAAUCUGUUGACUUUAGCAGAGUUCUGAUAUCUGUCUCAUUUCCUCAGUGUAUUUUUCCAGUCUUAUGCAUGACUUUUCCUUCUGAAACACCCAACCCACCAAGGUCUACGAUAUACAAACUGGAGCACCUUCAAAUUGCAGGAGGCUGAGGAGGCAUUACUGCACACUGACUUUGUCUUAGUCCCUUUUGUAGGCCUCUGCUGUCAGAUGGAAUAUUGAACUAGGUGUACCCAUCUAUGUGCACGGGGAACUAUUUAUUGUAUUCUUCUGAUUGCUACUCUACAGUUAAAGUAUUGAAAUCCUCUUUUAAGGGGACUAACACAUGGAGCUAUUUUUAGAGUUCAGAAAUAAAAAUAUGAAUAAAAAAAUUCAGCAUGAUUAA